rnacentral:rRNA from 1 species
CCUACGGGGGGCAGCAGUGAGGAAUAUUGGUCAAUGGACGAGAGUCUGAACCAGCCAAGUAGCGUGAAGGAUGACUGCCCUAUGGGUUGUAAACUUCUUUUAUAUGGGAAUAAAAUGUUCCACGUGUGGGAUUUUGUAUGUACCAUAUGAAUAAGGAUCGGCUAACUCCGUGCCAGCAGCCGCGGUAAUACGGAGGAUCCGAGCGUUAUCCGGAUUUAUUGGGUUUAAAGGGAGCGUAGGUGGAUUGUUAAGUCAGUUGUGAAAGUUUGGGGCUCAACCGUAAAAUUGCAGUUGAAACUGGCAGUCUUGAGUACAGUAGAGGUGGGCGGAAUUCGUGGUGUAGCGGUGAAAUGCUUAGAUAUCACGAAGAACUCCGAUUGCGAAGGCAGUUCACUGGACUGCAACUGACACUGAGGCUCGAAAGUGUGGGUAUCAAACAGGAUUAGAUACCCGUGUAGUC